GACGAACGCUGGCGGCGUGCCUAAUACAUGCAAGUCGAACGAACUCUGGUAUUGAUUGGUGCUUGCAUCAUGAUUUACAUUUGAGUGAGUGGCGAACUGGUGAGUAACACGUGGGAAACCUGCCCAGAAGAGGGGGAUAACACCUGGAAACAGAUGCUAAUACCGCAUAACAACUUGGACCGCAUGGUCCGAGUUUGAAAGAUGGCUUCGGCUAUCACUUUUGGAUGGUCCCGCGGCGUAUUAGCUAGAUGGUGAGGUAACGGCUCACCAUGGCAAUGAUACGUAGCCGACCUGAGAGGGUAAUCGGCCACAUUGGGACUGAGACACGGCCCAAACUCCUACGGGAGGCAGCAGUAGGGAAUCUUCCACAAUGGACGAAAGUCUGAUGGAGCAACGCCGCGUGAGUGAAGAAGGGUUUCGGCUCGUAAAACUCUGUUGUUAAAGAAGAACAUAUCUGAGAGUAACUGUUCAGGUAUUGACGGUAUUUAACCAGAAAGCCACGGCUAACUACGUGCCAGCAGCCGCGGUAAUACGUAGGUGGCAAGCGUUGUCCGGAUUUAUUGGGCGUAAAGCGAGCGCAGGCGGUUUUUUAAGUCUGAUGUGAAAGCCUUCGGCUCAACCGAAGAAGUGCAUCGGAAACUGGGAAACUUGAGUGCAGAAGAGGACAGUGGAACUCCAUGUGUAGCGGUGAAAUGCGUAGAUAUAUGGAAGAACACCAGUGGCGAAGGCGGCUGUCUGGUCUGUAACUGACGCUGAGGCUCGAAAGUAUGGGUAGCAAACAGGAUUAGAUACCCUGGUAGUCCAUACCGUAAACGAUGAAUGCUAAGUGUUGGAGGGUUUCCGCCCUUCAGUGCUGCAGCUAACGCAUUAAGCAUUCCGCCUGGGGAGUACGGCCGCAAGGCUGAAACUCAAAGGAAUUGACGGGGGCCCGCACAAGCGGUGGAGCAUGUGGUUUAAUUCGAAGCUACGCGAAGAACCUUACCAGGUCUUGACAUACUAUGCAAAUCUAAGAGAUUAGACGUUCCCUUCGGGGACAUGGAUACAGGUGGUGCAUGGUUGUCGUCAGCUCGUGUCGUGAGAUGUUGGGUUAAGUCCCGCAACGAGCGCAACCCUUAUUAUCAGUUGCCAGCAUUAAGUUGGGCACUCUGGUGAGACUGCCGGUGACAAACCGGAGGAAGGUGGGGAUGACGUCAAAUCAUCAUGCCCCUUAUGACCUGGGCUACACACGUGCUACAAUGGAUGGUACAACGAGUUGCGAACUCGCGAGAGUAAGCUAAUCUCUUAAAGCCAUUCUCAGUUCGGAUUGUAGGCUGCAACUCGCCUACAUGAAGUCGGAAUCGCUAGUAAUCGCGGAUCAGCAUGCCGCGGUGAAUACGUUCCCGGGCCUUGUACACACCGCCCGUCACACCAUGAGAGUUUGUAACACCCAAAGUCGGUGGGGUAACCUUUUAGGAACCAGCCGCCUAAGGUGGGACAGAUGAUUAGGGUGAAG
rnacentral:rRNA from 1 species